GCGAAUAUAGUUUAAUGGUAAAAUAUUAAUUUUCCAAGUUAAUGUUGUUGGUUCGAUUCCUACUAUUCGCA
rnacentral:tRNA from 1 species